AUGCACGCUGGCGGCGGGGAGAAUAAAUGUAAGUCGAGCGAAAAGACGAGUAGCUUGCUCUUCUGAAGUUAGUGGCGGACGGUUGAGUAACAAGUGGAUAAAUUAAAUAUAAGACUGGGAUAACUUCGGGAAACCGGAGCUAAUACCGGAUAAUCUAUUGAACCGCAUGGUUCAAUAGUGAAAGACGGUUUUGCUGUCACUUAUAGAUGGAUCCGCGCCGCAUUAGCUAGUUGGUAAGGUAACGGCUUACCAAGGCAACGAUGCGUAGCCGACCUGAGAGGGUGAUCGGCCACACUGGAACUGAGACACGGUCCAGAAUCCUACGGGAGGAAGCAGUAGGGAAUCUUCCGCAAUGGGCGAAAGCCUGACGGAGCAACGCCGCGUGAGUGAUGAAGGGAGUCGGAUCGUAAAACUCUGUUAUUAGGGAAGAAAAAAUGUGUAAGUAACUAUGCACGUAUUGACGGUACCUAAUCAGAAAGCCACGGCUAACUACGUC
rnacentral:rRNA from 1 species